rnacentral:rRNA from 1 species
AAUGAACGUUGGCGGCGUGGAUUAGGCAUGCAAGUCGAGCGAGAAUCGGUCUUCGGAUCGAGGACAGCGGCGAACGGGGUAGGAAUACCUCGGUGACGUACCCCCAGGUCGGGGAUAGCGGCGGGAAACUGCCGGUAAUACCCGAUGACCUGUCCUGAUUUUAGCUUUGGGACAGCAAAGGUGUGAUUCCGUCUGGGGAGCGGCUGAGGUCGUAUUAGCUAGUUGGUAAGGUAACGGCUUACCAAGGCGAUGAUGCGUAGGGGGUGUGAGAGCAUGGCCCCCACCACUGGCACUGAGACACUGGCCAGACACCUACGGGUGGCUGCAGUCGAGAAUCUUCGGCAAUGGGCGAAAGCCUGACCGAGCGACGCCGCGUGCGGGAUGAAGGUCUUCGGAUUGUAAACCGCUGUCGGAGGGGAUGAAAUGCAUGGGGGUACUCCCCUGUGUUUGACAGAGCCUCGGAGGAAGCACGGGCUAAGUUCGUGCCAGCCGCCGCGGUAAUAC